rnacentral:rRNA from 1 species
UACGGAGGGAGCUAGCGUUGUUCGGAAUUACUGGGCGUAAAGGGCGCGUAGGCGGCCUCGCAAGUCCCGUGUGAAAUCCCUCGGCUCAACUGAGGAAUGGCACGGGAAACUGCGGGGCUUGAGUUCGGGAGAGGGAAGCGGAAUUCCGGGUGUAGCGGUGAAAUGCGUAGAUAUCCGGAGGAACACCGGUGGCGAAGGCGGCUCCUGGACCGAUACUGACGCUGAGGCGCGAAAGCUAGGGGAGCAAACGGG